rnacentral:misc_RNA from 1 species
CGCUUGUGGGGCUUUAUGGUGAUGUGGCAGAUGAGGAUUUGGUGGAUCGGGUCGUGAAGGAGCUAUCGGGUUGGUUUGGGGAGUCGGUAGUUGGGUCAUGGGGUUACUUGAGGAUGUACAGGAUCGGGUUUGCCCAACCGAACCAAUGCCCACCCACUAACUUGAAGAAGAACCCGAAAGUGAAACCGGGCUUGUACAUUUGUG